GGGUCCUCUGAACCUAGAGAAGGGCUUCUCCUUCGGGAGCAGAGUGACAGGUGGUGCAUGGUUGUCGUCAGCUCGUGUCGUGAGAUGUUGGGUUAAGUCCCGCAACGAGCGCAACCCUUGAUCUUAGUUGCCAUCAUUAAGUUGGGCACUCUAAGGUGACUGCCGGUGACAAACCGGAGGAAGGUGGGGAUGACGUCAAAUCAUCAUGCCCCUUAUGACCUGGGCUACACACGUGCUACAAUGGACGGUACAAAGAGCUGCAAGACCGCGAGGUGGAGCUAAUCUCAUAAAACCGUUCUCAGUUCGGAUUGUAGGCUGCAACUCGCCUACAUGAAGCUGGAAUCGCUAGUAAUCGCGGAUCAGCAUGCCGCGGUGAAUACGUUCCCGGGUCUUGUACACACGCAAA
rnacentral:rRNA from 1 species